CAACAGAUUUUACAAAAAAGUUUGUCAAGCAAUACUCACAGAACAAUCGACCAUGGCCGGAGAUGGCACUGAGAAGGCAACAGUAAUAGAGGGAAAGGAAUGGUACAUGGCAGCCUAUGCACCUCAGGGUGUUCCAAGCUCCGAUCACCUCAAACUCCGGACUGUAACCAUAUCACUAGCAGAUGAUUCAAUUCCAGAUGGUCACGUGGCUGUUGAGUUGCUGUGGAUCUCCGUUGAUCCUUAUCUACGUUCUAGAAUGACAGGCCACCAGGACGGACUUUACAUGCCCCAGUUCAAAAUCGACGAGGUGUUGGUGGCAUUUGGGGUUGGAAGGGUAAUAAAGUCAAAGGACAGCAGAUACAGUGAAGGGGAUAUAGUGCUUAAUCCUUAUUUUCCAAUUGCUGAGUACUGUGUGAUGCCAUCAGAUUCCUUAAUAAGAAAGAUUGAUGUUACAGCAGGAAUAGCAAUCCCUGAUUACCUCAAUGCUUUAGGGGCACCUGGAUUUGCAGCAUGGGUGGGGAUAGUGGUGUUAGGAGAGGCAAAGCCAGGUUUGAAUGUGUUUGUCUCAGCAGCCGCAGGAGGCGUUGGUAUGUUUGCCGGUCAGUUGGCCAAGCUCAGGGGUUGCCGGGUUAUUGGCAGCACAGGAUCUGAUGAUAAGGUAAAGCUUUUAAAGGAAGCAUUUGGAUACGACGACGCUUUCAACUACAAAAGGGAAACAGAUUAUGAUGCUGCUUUAAGCAAGUACUUCCCUAAUGGUAUCGAUGUCUACCUUGACAAUGUUGGUGGUAAAAUGCUGGAGGCUGUCCUUAAUCACAUCAAUAUUGGUGGUCGGAUCCCUCUCUGUGGAAUGAUAUCUGAAUAUAACAAGACAUGGAAAGAAAGAGAUGGUGUGAGAAAUCUUUUGAAUCUAGUUGGUAAAAAUGUGAGGAUGGAAGGGUUUUUGGUGGGUUCAUAUUUAAAUCGUUUUCAAGAUUUUUUGAAGGAGAUGGAGGACUAUCUACUUCAAGGAAAAAUUAUCUCCAAGACAAAGACAUACAAUGGAAUUGAUAGCUUUCUAGAGAGCUUGGGAUCUCUUUUUUCAAGCACUAAUAAUGGAAAAGUUGUCAUUCAAGUCAAAGAGUGAAUGAUAUAUAUACGAAAUUCUUGUCUAAG
rnacentral:misc_RNA from 1 species